rnacentral:snRNA from 1 species
UAAAAUAAAUUUAAAAAAUAAAAAUUGGAACAAUACAGAGAAGAUUAGUAUGCCCCUGGCACGAAGAUGACACACAAAUUUGUGAAGCAUUCCAUAUUUUA